rfam:Bombyx mori DNA, contig: Bm_scaf57_contig28096, strain: p50T/Dazao, build 2, whole genome shotgun sequence.
UUAACUCAAAUUUGUAUGGAGUUGGAACGUUUGCCUACGUUUGUCAUUAGGGACGCUGUUCCAACUGCACGCAAAUUUUAGUUA